rnacentral:rRNA from 1 species
UGGGUUAGUGGCGGACGGGUGAGUAACGCGUGGGUAACCUGCCUUACACAGGGGGAUAACACCUGGAAACAGGUGCUAAUACCGCAUAAGCGCACAGGGCCGCAUGGCCCGGUGUGAAAAACUCCGGUGGUGUAAGAUGGACCCGCGUCUGAUUAGCUUGUUGGCGGGGUAGAGGCCCACCAAGGCGACGAUCAGUAGCCGGCCUGAGAGGGUGGACGGCCACAUUGGGACUGAGACACGGCCCAAACUCCUACGGAAGGCAGCAG